ACGGAAGACAGAAUGAUGAUUUCUGCUCCGCAUCCACGCAUUUAUUUGCCUGUGAUUACACAGAGUGCAAUAUCUAGGUACAAUUAUUUUCGUUUUUGAAUUUGUACAUGGUGGGGAUGAGUGUGAGGGUUGGACACGUGUGGUAAGUAUACAUGGUUUGGUAUUUUCUUACUUAUAAACAUUGCGUGGAUGGUAACAUUAACAUAUGGUUUUUGUUUGUUUACAUUUUAAAGGUUUAGGAAAUUUACAUUUGUCAAUUAAAUUAAGUUUAGAAUUUGAAUUGUUUCUAUUUUCAGAUGCCCCCGCCAGAAGGACGGAAGCAUCGAGUCUCAGGAGUUGGGCCAGCGUUUCUGGUAAGUAUUCAUGGUGUGAAUUUUAGCCGGCUGUCAAAUGUGGUACUAUUUACCACCACAGCGGCCGUUAUUUUGCGUUUGAGUUUUCAUUUUAGCUACAGCAGUUUCACCAGUCGUCAGUGUUUUAUUUCCGUGUGCAUAUCCCGCGCCGCCGUCAAUUUGGAUUUUAGUUUGCAGGAGGCUGUCAACCCGCCCAUGGGUCUCAUCGCCAGCAGUUUCACCAGUCGUCAGUGUUUUGUUUUCGUGUGCAGAUCCCGCGCCGCCGUCAAUUUAAAUUUUUAGUUUGCAGGAGGCUGUAAACCCGCCCAUGGGUCUCAUCGCCAGCCGUCAAAUGGUCGAAAGCGAAGUGGAUUCCCGCGCUGCCGUCUUAUUCCAGGGUCCAGGGAGUUGCUGCAUUUCAGCUGGAGUUCUUCAUUGCGUAGUGGAUUCCCGCGUCGCCGUCUUAUUCCGGGGUCCAGAGAGUUGCUGCACUUCAGCUGGAGUUCAUCGAUGUGUCGGCGAGAGCGUCGUCAUUGUUUUGGAGUCACCAGGGUCGUCGCUUCUGUGGGUCGUCUCGCCAGGGAAAGGAGGCAUCUUAUGGACGCCGGGCCAAGAUGCUUUGCUUUGGGCCGACGCUCGUAAGUGUCCAUGGAAUUGGAUGCAGAAAAUUGGAUUAGAUAAGUAUAUCUAUGUGUUUAGUUUUGUUUUGUCUGAUUUUUGUUUUGUCUUUUCUUUUGCAGGUCCAAUUAGUCCAGGAUUUUUCAUUUUUGUCCGGUGGGAUUUGGGAAGGAAUGCAUUGCCUUGGAUUUAUAAAGAGCAUCGUCGGAGGUUCGUAUUUGUCAGUGAGUUUGUAAAUGCAUUUAGUUUUCUGUUGUUGUUAGUUUAUUUUGCUCUUUUUCAGGGAUAUUGUCAGUAUGUCGUUGCUACCAAGAAAAGGUGGAAUUUAAGGGUCAAGAUUUUGACCUUUUGCCGGGUCAACAGCGCCGCACUUGGAAUUCGUGCCGAAAUCGUCGUUUUUCAUUUCGCCGAGUCGGGAAAUGGGAUUUUGUUUGUAUGCCGUUGCUGCCAGAAAAAAGUCGAUUUCAAGGGUCGCGAAAUUGACCUUUUGCCGGGUCAGCAGCGGCGCACCUAGGGUUAAGAAGGACGAGGGUGCACCCCAACAUGGAGACGGCAUCCAAACAUUAUAGGAUUUUUAUGUUUUAGGUGACAAAAGCUUCGUUUUUCGUUGCGCCUAGCAGGGAAGGAUAUUGUCAGUGUUAUCGUUGCUACCAGAAAAAGUCGAAAUUCAAGGGUCACGAUUUUGACCUUUUGCCGGGUCGGCAGCGCCGCUCCAAGGGUCAAUAAAAUCGAGGGGGCUUCCUGGAAUAGGGACGGCAUCAAAACAUUGUGGAUUUUUAUAUAUAUUAUUAUAUAUUGCUCUGUUUUAUGUUUUGAUUAAAGUAUUUCAAUCUUUAACGGA